rnacentral:sRNA from 1 species
CUCCUCCUGAGGGUCCAAUGCUGGUUGCCAACUGAUGACCUUCCCCAACAGAGGAGGACAGUUCUUCAGUCAAGGAUAAACCAGAAGCUGUAUGCCCCUGCAAGAACUUCUAGAGAAGCUCUGUAGAGAAGAAGAGUGGAGGUGCUAGGG